GUGGGGAAUAUUGGACAAUGGGCGGAAGCCUGAUCCAGCCAUGCCGAGUGUGUGAAGAAGGUCUUCGGAUUGUAAAGCACUUUAAGUUGGGAGGAAGGGCAGUAAGUUAAUACCUUGCUGUUUUGACGUUACCGACAGAAUAAGCACCGGCUAACUUCGUGCCAGCAGCCGCGGUAAUACGAAGGGUGCAAGCGUUAAUCGGAAUUACUGGGCGUAAAGCGCGCGUAGGUGGUUUUGUAAGUUGGAGGUGAAAGCCCCGGGCUCAACCUGGGAACUGCCUCCAAAACUGCAUGACUAGAGUACGGUAGAGGGUAGUGGAAUUUCCUGUGUAGCGGUGAAAUGCGUAGAUAUAGGAAGGAACCCCAGUGGCGAAGGCGACUACCUGGACUGAUACUGACACUGAGGUGCGAAAGCGUGGGGAGCAAACAGGAUUAGAAACCCCGGUAGUCC
rnacentral:rRNA from 1 species